GGAGUGGUAGCUCAGGGGUAGAGCGGCAGGCUGCAGUACUUUCUGUAGCUCUCCUGUAGGUCACCAGUUCGAUUCUGGUUCACUCCU